rnacentral:rRNA from 1 species
AGAGCGAACGCUGGCGGCAGGCUUAACACAUGCAAGUCGAGCGGGCGUAGCAAUGCGUCAGCGGCAGACGGGUGAGUAACGCGUGGGAACGUACCUUUUGGUUCGGAACAACCCAGGGAAACUUGGGCUAAAUACCGGAUAAGCCCUUACGGGGAAAGAUUUAUCGCCGAAAGAUCGGCCCGCGUCUGAUUAGCUAGUUGGUGAGGUAAUGGCUCACCAAGGCGACGAUCAGUAGCUGGUCUGAGAGGAUGAUCAGCCACAUUGGGACUGAGACACGGCCCAAACUCCUACGGGAGGCAGCAGUGGGGAAUAUUGGACAAUGGGCGCAAGCCUGAUCCAGCCAUGCCGCGUGAGUGAUGAAGGCCCUAGGGUUGUAAAGCUCUUUUGUGCGGGAAGAUAAUGACGGUACCGCAAGAAUAAGCCCCGGCUAACUUCGUGCCAGCAGCCGC